rnacentral:rRNA from 1 species
GCCAGACUCCUACGGGAGGCAGCAGUGGGGGAUAUUGCACAAUGGGGGGAACCCUGAUGCAGCGACGCCGCGUGGGUGAAGGAGCGUUUCGGCGCGUAAAGCCCUAUCGGCAGGGAAGGAGGGGGACGGUACCUGACUAAGAAGCCCCGGCUAACUACGUGCCAGCAGCCGCGGUAAUACGUAGGGGGCAAGCGUUAUCCGGAUUUACUGGGUGUAAAGGGGGCGCAGACGGCAGCGCAAGCCAGGAGUGAAAGCCCGGGGCCCAACCCCGGGACUGCUCUUGGAACUGCGCGGCUGGAGUGCAGGAGGGGCAGGCGGAAUUCCUGGUGUAGCGGUGAAAUGCGUAGAUAUCAGGAGGAACCCCGGUGGCGAAGGCGGCCUGCUGGACUGCGACUGACGUUGAGGCCCGAAAGCGUGGGGAGCAAACAGGAUUAGAUACCCCCGUAU